GACGAACGCUGGCGGCGUGCUUAACACAUGCAAGUCGAACGGAAAGGCCCUGCUUUUGUGGGGUGCUCGAGUGGCGAACGGGUGAGUAACACGUGAGUAACCUGCCCUUGACUUUGGGAUAACUUCAGGAAACUGGGGCUAAUACCGGAUAGGAGCUCCUGCUGCAUGGUGGGGGUUGGAAAGUUUCGGCGGUUGGGGAUGGACUCGCGGCUUAUCAGCUUGUUGGUGGGGUAGUGGCUUACCAAGGCUUUGACGGGUAGCCGGCCUGAGAGGGUGACCGGCCACAUUGGGACUGAGAUACGGCCCAGACUCCUACGGGAGGCAGCAGUGCGGAAUAUUGCACAAUGGGCGGAAGGCUGAUGCAGCAACGCCGCGUGCGGGAUGACGGCCUUCGGGUUGUAGACCGCUUUCGCCUGUGACGAAGCGUGAGUGACGGUAAUGGGUAAAGAAGCACCGGCUAACUACGUG
rnacentral:rRNA from 1 species